rnacentral:rRNA from 1 species
UUGACCUCGGAUCAGGUAGGGAUACCCGCUGAACUUAAGCAUAUCAAUAAGCGGAGGAAAAGAAACCAACAGGGAUUGCCCUAGUAACGGCGAGUGAAGCGGCAACAGCUCAAAUUUGAAAUCUGGCUCUUUCAGAGUCCGAGUUGUAAUUUGCACAGGGCGCUUUGGCUUUGGCAGCGGUCCAAAUUCCUUGGAACAGGACGUCACAGAGGGUGAGAAUCCCGUACAUGGUCGCUAGCUAUUGCCGUGUAAAACCCCUUCUACGAGUCGAGUUGUUUGCUAAUGCAGCUCU